GAUGAAGAACGUAGCGAAAUGCGAUAAGUAAUGUGAAUUGCAGAAUUCAGUGAAUCAUCGAAUCUUUGAACGCACAUUGCGCCCUCUGGUAUUCCGGGGGGCAUGCCUGUUCGAGCGUCAUUAUAACCACUCAAGCUCUCGCUUGGUAUUGGGGCUCGCGGUUCCGCGGCCCCAAAAAUCAGUGGCGGUGCCUGUCGGCUCUACGCGUAGUAAUACUCCUCGCGAUUGAGUCCGGUAGGUCUACUUGCCAGCAACCCCCAAUUUUUACAGGUUGACCUCGGAUCAGGUAGGGAUACCCGCUGAACUUAAGCAUAUCAAUAAGCGGAGGA
rnacentral:misc_RNA from 1 species